GUGCUCACUUUAGAAGCCACAUAUACUAAAAUUAUCCCAAAACAGACAAAAUUAUCAUGGCCCCUGCACAAAGAUGGCAUGCAGAAUAUUGAAGUAAUCUAUAUUUUC